GUUAAUUGUGCAAAGCGCCAAAAUUUUUCAUCUGAUUAAAAAAUCAAAAAGAAAAAAGCCCUUUCCCAUAAAACCCUCUUUCAACCAAAUUCUCAACGAUGUUCUGUUCCAGCAAUUCUCAACGAAGUUCUUGGUGAAGAAAAGAAUAGCAGAACUUCUGGUGAAGAAAUCUCUCUAGUGAAGCUCGUUUGUCUUCUUGGACAUUGAUGUCUUUUACUUCAGUUGAAGCUUAACUGGUCUUACGACAGCAAUUUAUGGGUAUAAAGAUUUGAAUAGUCAUGAGUCAACAAGAACCUUCAAAAAGAAACAAAAAAGCAAAAAUACGACAUUUGCUAAACCAAUAUCGUUAUCAUUCUAAGCAAAUAAGAGUUAUUGACAACAAAUGAAAUUGUUCAAGAUAUAGAGUACGAGAAAGGGCAUCUGCUUAAACUAAUUGGAGUACAACAACCAGUGGCACCACAAUCUGAAGCAAAUAGACAAUCUAUAGAAGAGCAACAUGUCUUGAGCAGCCUAUUGAGGAGCCGCCUUUCGAGGAUCAAGUGCAAAUGAAUUAUGUCACUCCUCAAACAGAUGAUCAAUUUCAAGAACAAGAUAAGGAGACAGUGUCAUCUAAGGAUCUCUUAGUGGUUACAAGAAGAAGAAAACACAGGCGUUUAUACAAGAGUUCGAAUGCGGGAUGAAUUGAUACUAACAUAUUGACAGGAUUGUCCAUCCCUUCGCCAAGAGAACAUAAUUAUGUUCAAGGGGCUGAGCAAGAUUGGCUUCUAUGCAGUGGUCAAGAUCAUAAAGGUGAAUUUCCUUUUAGAGAUAAUCAAUCUUUUUGACAACUUAGUGAAGAGACGGGAGAAGAUCAAGGAUGGUGUCUUUUUAUUGUUACAUUGCAAUUCAAAGCAAGGAUAGCCACAAUGUUUUGGUUGAUGACUGAGUCUGAAUGGGAAAUGAACGAUGGUUCAUUGCUUUUGUAACUCCAUCUUCUAUUGUUGGCCAGGUUUAUUUGAAAAACAAGGCAUUAACUCCAUCUUCUAUUGUUGCAGUAACAUAUAAUAACUGUUGCAAAUGCCAUUGAGCGACAUUUAUAAUCAUUUAAAACUGUUGGCAAUAGCCACGGAGCGACAUUUAAAAUUGUUGCAGUACUAUGUAACAAUCAUCACAAUAGAAUCAAAUGGUUGUUGAA